ACAACAUUUGGACCGUUGGUCUACCGAGCAAUAUCAACCGCUCAGUGGAAUAUCUUCCUUUCGUCGU
rnacentral:pre_miRNA from 1 species